rnacentral:rRNA from 1 species
UACGUAGGGCGCGAGCGUUGUCCGGAAUCAUUGGGCGUAAAGAGCUCGUAGGCGGCCGGUUGCGUCUGCUGUGAAAUCCCGGGGCUUAACCCCGGGCGUGCAGUGGAUACGGGCUGGCUGGAGGCAGGCAGGGGAGAAUGGAAUUCCCGGUGUAGCGGUGAAAUGCGCAGAUAUCGGGAGGAACACCGGUGGCGAAGGCGGCUCUCUGGGCCUUACCUGACGCUGAGGAGCGAAAGCCAGGGGAGCAAACGGG